UAGAUUAUUUUUUAGAAGGCGGUUGAUAAGGCAUUCAGUGUUUUUGAGUAAACCGUGAAAGAACAAAAUUUUAUACCAUGUCAGACGAAUCAAACAGGAGCUGUGGCGCAAAGGGUAUGGCGAACACUUGCUGCCAACGAAGUGGAUGCUGCGGCAAAGAGGCGUCAAUGAACCAAUGCAAAUGUGAGAAGUGCGAAUGUAAACCGGGAGAUCGCUGUGGUGACCCCAAAUGCGUCAAGAGUUCGUGUGGAUGCUCCAGAGAUGAGAGUGGCGGUGUCCAGAAUUGCGAAUGUAAGCCUGGAAGAUGCGAAUGCAACGCCCACUAAGCGAUGUAAUGUGUGUUACUCUUUCUUAAUAAACGAAUACAUAGAGUACACCA